rnacentral:rRNA from 1 species
GAUGAACGCUGGCGGCGUGCCUAAUACAUGCAAGUCGAGCGAACGGACGAUAAGCUUGCUUCUCUGAUGUUAGCGGCGGACGGGUGAGUAACACGUGGAUCACCUACCUCUAAGACUGGGAUAACUUCGGGAAACCGGAGCUACUACCGGAUAAUAUUUUGAACCGCAUGGUUCAAAAGUGAAAGACGGUCUUGCUGUCUCUUAUAGAUGAAUCCGCGCUGCAUUAGCUAGUUGGUAAGGUAACGCCUUACCAAGGCGACGAUGCGUAGCCGACCUGAGAGGGUGAUCGGCCACACUGGAACUGAGACACGGUCCAGACUCCUACGGGAGGCAGCAGUGGGGAAUCUUCGGCAAUGGGCGAAAGCCUGACGGAGCAACGCCGCGUGAGUGAUGAAGGUCUUCGGAUCGUAAAACUCUGUUAUUAGGGAAGAACAGAUGUGUAAGUAUCUGUGCACAUCUUGACGGUACCUAAUCAGAAAGCCACGGCUAACUACGUG